rnacentral:misc_RNA from 1 species
AACGAGGCCGACCUGCGGCUGAGUUACCUGCGGAGGGAUCAUUACAGAGUUCGUGCCCUCGCGGGUAGAUCUCCCACCCUUGUGUAUUUUCUACAUCUUGUUGCUUUGGCAGGCCGUUGGUUCGCCAACCACCGGCUCGCGGGCUGGUGCGUGCCUGCCAGAGGACCUCUCAAACUCGGUUUGUUAGUGUCGUCUGAGUACCAUAACAAUCGUUAAAACUUUCAGCAAUGGAUCUCAGAU